rnacentral:rRNA from 1 species
CCUACGGGAGGCAGCAGUGAGGAAUAUUGGUCAAUGGACGAGAGUCUGAACCAGCCAAGUAGCGUGAAGGAUGACUGCCCUAUGGGUUGUAAACUUCUUUUAUAUGGGAAUAAAAUGUUCCACGUGUGGGAUUUUGUAUGUACCAUAUGAAUAAGGAUCGGCUAACUCCGUGCCAGCAGCCGCGGUAAUACGGAGGAUCCGAGCGUUAUCCGGAUUUAUUGGGUUUAAAGGGAGCGUAGGUGGAUUGUUAAGUCAGUUGUGAAAGUUUGCGGCUCAACCGUAAAAUUGCAGUUGAGACUGGCAGUCUUGAGUACAGUAGAGGUGGGCGGAAUUCGGGGUGUAGCGGUGAAAUGCUUAGAUAUCACGAAGAACUCCGAUUGCGAAGGCAGUUCACUGGACUGCAACUGACACUGAGGCUCGAAAGUGUGGGUAUCAAACAGGAUUAGAUACCCCAGUAGUC